ensembl:lncRNA
UUAACUUCCAUAUUUUAAAUUAUAAAAAUAAACUGGGAAACUAAAGCAAAUGUGCAUCCUUGCGGGACUCCAAGCCUGGGCACUGGCCGCCUGCGUGCACUCCUCUAAGUGUGCAUAACACGCCCGCAGGGGUUGCCAGCAGGAAGCCUGCGUUAACUUUAUCUCGUGGUGGGGAAGGUGGAGCCCACGCCCACACCUAGCAAGCUGGAGAGGGAGGUUUCGUGAGGAAAUAAAUAUGGGGCACGGAAACACAGUCUUCCGCAUGGAGUCCCCAGAGGCAGUGCAUUUUAAACCCUAAAUGUGGAUUACUGAGUGUCCGAGUGGAGUUUAAAUUCCGUUUGAAGAAACUGGAUAAGGAGUGUUUGUGUGGGUGUUUGUGCGCACGGCUAUAUGGGAGCAGGCACAGGAUCUCAGUGUUGGGGGUGUCCCUAGUGUGCGAUGUCCUCCUCUCGCCACAUUAGGAGAACUCCUUUAGCUCCCCCAAACUGGCCCCCGUAACUACCCUGCCUCGGUUCGUAAGGGGUUAACCAAAACCGAUUCCGAGGACAGACAACCCGCCCCCACAGUCACCCCCACCCACACUCGCUUCCGACCCUGGCCAAGCCCCCAAAUCUUCCCCGGGGACCCCCCACCCCGCAGCCCACCCACCGGAGCGCACAGCUCCUCACCUGAAGGGCCGGGCCACGUCCGGCCUCCCGAAGAGGCUGCGUGCGUCAGGCGGACCACCGCACGUGUCCUCGGCGGCGCGGAGCAGGGCAGGUGUCAUGGGUCGCACAGAAGGGCCCUCUGCUUGAUAUAAUGCUCUGCUGUGGCCAUCUUCAUAAUUUUUGAGCAAGGUGCCCACAUUUUCAUUUUUGGACUGGGCCUGCAAAUUAUGUAGCGGGUCCUGCCUUCCUUAUGGGACGUCUGGGAUGGAUAUUCCAUGUGGGCAUUCACCUCACAGUUCAGGCCUCCUUCACCUUCAAGAGAUGUUUGCCCCCUUCACUGCGUCUGUGAAGCUGUUCUUUCCAACAUCAUCACUGAUGCGUUUCCAGUUCACAUCACUGCAACACCAAGUCCAAUGGAAGAGGGAAAAUCCACUUCUCCAACAGAGAAAAAGACUAGAAGGAAGCUCCCAAAAUGUUAAAGCCCUGCAAGCUAUUUGGCAUAUGAAGGUCUUGACCUGAGAAAACCAUCUUGGAUAACCGUGGCAAGGAGAAGGAAAAAUGCAACACCUAGGAGAUUUCAGUAAACAGUAGAAUCAUGCCAACCUAAUCUGUGUUAAAAUGCUUGGAAUGUGGGAGCCGCUGAUGAUGCCUGUUGUCUGUGUGUCUGACUGAAUCCUUUCUUUACUCAGAGCAGCAAAGCAAAGCCUGGGAACCAGGCCAAAUGCCUGCCACUUACCUUAAAUUGAUCAGCCACUUUGAGAUUAAAACUCCUGAAAGCUGCCACACCGUGAAAACAAGGCCCCCUUCACAUUAAAGGCAAAUUGCGACUUUGAGUUUGCUGUGAUCUUUUUUCCAUUUUAUCCAGUUUUUCACAGUGCACACUUUUUUUUUCCUUUCCAUUUAUGCUCCAAUGUAGAAGCCAAUAGUUACAGCAUCUUGGCCAAGCAUUCAUUAAGGUUUAUAAGACCAAAAUUUAUGGUUAUUUAGGAGUUGGCACAAAGACAGACUGUUGCUGGAAAAAGAAAAAGAAAUACAGGUGGGAAAUAUAAGCCUCAACAAAGGCCCAUACUAUACAGUAGUGUGCUGGGCUCACAGGAGUGUCUGCAAGGAAAAUACU